rnacentral:rRNA from 1 species
GACGAACGCUGGCGGCGUGCUUAACACAUGCAAGUCGAACGGAAAGGCCCUGCUUUUGUGGGGUGCUCGAGUGGCGAACGGGGGAGUAACACGUGAGUAACCUGCCCUUGACUUUGGGAUAACUUCAGGAAACUGGGGCUAAUACCGGAUAGGAGCUCCUGCUGCAUGGAGGGGGGUGGAAAGUUUCGGCGGGUGGGGAUGGACUCGCGGCUUAUCAGCUUGUUGGUGGGGUAGUGGCUUACCAAGGCUUUGACGGGUAGCCGGCCCGAGAGGGUGACCGGCCACCUUGGGCCUGCGAUACGGCCCAGACUCCUACGGGAGGCAGCAGUGGGGAAUAUUGCACAAUGGGCGGAAGCCUGAUGCAGCAGCGCCGCGUGCGGGAUGACGGCCUUCGGGUUGUAAACCGCUUUCGCCUGUGACGAAGCGUGAGUGACGGUAAUGGGUAAAGAAGCACCGGCUAACUACGUG